GGGCCCGUGGGCUAGCUUGGAUAUACUGUUCGCCUUCGGAGCGAACGACUCGGGUUCGAAUCCCGGCGGGCCCG
rfam:Candidatus Altiarchaeales archaeon A3 Ga0073111_1002, whole genome shotgun sequence.